UACGUAGGGGGCAAGCGUUGUCCGGAUUUAUUGGGCGUAAAGAGCGUGUAGGCGGCCUGACAGGUCUGCUGUGAAAACUCGGGGCUCAACCUCGAGAUGUCGGCGGAAACCGUCUGGCUAGAGUCCGGAAGAGGAGAGUGGAAUUCCUGGUGUAGCGGUGAAAUGCGCAGAUAUCAGGAAGAACACCUAUGGCGAAGGCAGCUCUCUGGGACGGUACUGACGCUGAGACACGAAAGCCAGGGGAGCGAACGGG
rnacentral:rRNA from 1 species